rnacentral:rRNA from 1 species
GACGAACGCUGGCGGCGUGCUUAACACAUGCAAGUCGAACGGAAAGGCCUUUUCGGAGGUACUCGAGUGGCGAACGGGUGAGUAACACGUGGGUGGUCUGCCCUGCACUCUGGGAUAAGCCUGGGAAACUGGGUCUAAUACCGGAUAGGACCGCACUUUAGUGUGUGUGGUGGAAAGUUUUUUCGGUGUAGGAUGAGCCCGCGGCCUAUCAGCUUGUUGGUGGGGUAAUGGCCUACCAAGGCGGCGACGGGUAGCCGGACUGAGAGGUUGGUCGGCCACAUUGGGACUGAGAUACGGCCCAGACUCCUAAGGGAGGCAGCAGUGGGGAAUAUUGCACAAUGGGCGCAAGCCUGAUGCAGCGACGCCGCGUGGGGGAUGACGGCCUUCGGGUUGUAAACUCCUUUCGCCAGGGACGAAGCGUUUUGUGACGGUACCUGGAGAAGAAGCACCGGCUAACUACGUG